rnacentral:rRNA from 1 species
AUUGAACGCUGGCGGCAGGCCUAACACAUGCAAGUCGAACGAGUGGCGGACGGGUGAGUUAUGUCUGGGAAACUGUCUGGUGGAGGGGGAUCACUUCUGGAAGCGGUAUCUAAUACCGCAUACUCUCGGAUGCGCCGAGAUGGGAUUAGCUAGUGGGUGGGGUAAAGGCUCACCUAGGCGACGAUCCCUAGCUGGUCUGAGAGGAUGACCAGCCACACUGGAACUGAGACACGGUCCAGACUCCUACGGGAGGCAGCAGUGGGGAAUAUUGCACAAUGGGCGCAAGCCUGAUGCAGCCAUGCCGCGUGUAUGAAGAAGGCCUUCGGGUUGUAAAGUACUUUCAGCGGGGAGGCGUUACCCGCAGAAGAAGCACCGGCUAACUCCGUGCCAGCAGCCGCGGUAAUAC